AAGUCGUAACAAGGUUUCCGUAGGUGAACCUGCGGAAGGAUCAUUAACACGUAUCCAACGUUAACCCCCCCGUGCACCUUCAUUCUCUUGAUAAGAGUUAAACAACCUUCUUAUCAAGAGCACCAGCGUACCAUCAUUAGUUGGGAAAUUUGACUCUGGCAUUACAGACAGGGCAUCGGGGUUGAGUCUUGGGCGCAUUCGAAAGUAAUUUCCGGGUCGCCAGGGAAUUCCAAAGGCUUCCAGCUGGGAGUACCGGGUUAAUGCGUCGGGAUUUUGGCUCCCUUGAAUUGUAUUGCCAAUUACCUUCUCGCGAUUUUUGUCAUCAUAAACCACCCGAGCUCACACCCUUAAACGGGCCAGCCGAACAACUGUUAACAAUGGAUAUCUUGGCUCUC
rnacentral:misc_RNA from 1 species